rnacentral:misc_RNA from 1 species
AAUUCUCACAAGCUCUCUUUGCUUUGUUAUGAAGCAGUUUGGGCAUGUGGAUAUGGGCGUUUUUUUUUGCAUAACACUUUCGGGUGUAUGUUGCAAAUCGCCUGGAUUUCAUUUGCGUGCUGCAGUUCGGCUCUUUUGCCGGUCAAUCAAGUGCAACAGAAUUUUCUAUUCGCUUGUGAACGGUAAGGGUAGCAGUGCUGCUCGGUAUGCAGAAUACAAUUAUACCAGUUGCAUCAGCUUCUUUGCUACAACUGUUUA